UACGGGGGGGGCAAGCGUUGUUCGGAAUUACUGGGCGUAAAGAGCUCGUAGGCGGUUCGUCGCGUCGGCUGUGAAAACCCGGAGCUCAACUCCGGGCCUGCAGUCGAUACGGGCGGACUUGAGUGUUGCAGGGGAGACUGGAAUUCCUGGUGUAGCGGUGAAAUGCGCAGAUAUCAGGAGGAACACCGGUGGCGAAGGCGGGUCUCUGGGCAACUACUGACGCUGAGGAGCGAAAGCGUGGGGAGCGAACAGG
rnacentral:rRNA from 1 species